rnacentral:rRNA from 1 species
UACAGAGGUCUCAAGCGUUGCUCGGAUUUACUGGGCGUAAAGGGCGCGUAGGCGGACAGUUAAGUUGGGGGGUGAAAGCCCGGGGCUCAACCUCGGAAUUGCCUUCAAUACUGGCUGUCUUGAGUACGGGAGAGGUGUGUGGAACUCCGAGUGUAGAGGUGAAAUUCGUAGAUAUUCGGAAGAACACCAGUGGCGAAGGCGACACACUGGCCCGUUACUGACGCUGAGGCGCGAAAGCGUGGGGAGCAAACAGG